AGAGUUUGAUCAUGGCUCAGGAUUAACGCUGGCGGCAUGCCUAAUACAUGCAAGUCGAACGGAAGCAGCAAUGCUUUAGUGGCGAACGGGUGAGUAACACGUAGGGAACCUACCUAUACGACGAGGAUAACUACUGGAAACGGUAGCUAAAACUGGAUAGGAUCAAUUGAGGCAUCUUGAUUGAUUUAAAGAUCCUUCGGGAUUACGUAGAGAUGGCCCUGCGGCGCAUUAGCUAGUUGGUGAGGUAACGGCCCACCAAGGCGACGAUGCGUAGCUGAGCUGAGAGGCUAAACAGCCACACUGGGACUGAGACACGGCCCAGACUCCUACGGGAGGCAGCAGUAGGGAAUUUUCGGCAAUGGGGGAAACCCUGACCGAGCAAUGCCGCGUGAACGAUGAAGGUCUUCGGAUUGUAAAGUUCUGUGAUUGGGGAAGAAUGGUAUUCUUAGGGAAUGAGGAGUACAUGACGGUACCCGAUUAGAAAGCCCCGGCUAACUAUGUGCCAGCAGCCGCGGUAAUACAUAGGGGGCGAGCGUUAUCCGGAAUUAUUGGGCGUAAAGCGUGCGUAGGCGGCUACUUAAGUCUUAUUUGAAAUCCCACAGCUUAACUGUGGAGGGUGGUAAGAAACUGGGUGGCUUGAAUACAUCAGAGGUAAGUGGAGUUCCAUGUGUAGCGGUGGAAUGCGUAGAUAUAUGGAGGAACACCAGUGGCGAAGGCGGCUUACUGGGAUGGAAUUGACGCUGAGGCACGAAAGCGUGGGGAGCAAACAGGAUUAGAUACCCCGGUAGU
rnacentral:rRNA from 1 species